AGUCCCAGUUCGGAUUGAAGGCUGAAAUUCGCCUUCAUGAAGCCGGAAUUGCUAGUAAUGGCAGGUCAGCAUACUGCCGUGAAUACGUUCCCGGGCCUUGUACACACCGCCCGUCACACCAUGAGAGUUGGGAAUACCCGAAGCCUGUGAGCUAACUUUUAGAGGCAGCAAUCGAAGGUAGAAUCAAUGAUUGGGGUGAAGUCGUAACAAGGUAUC
rnacentral:rRNA from 1 species